rnacentral:rRNA from 1 species
GACGGAGGCCCCGAGCGUUAGGCGGAAUCACUGGGCUUAAAGCGUGUGUAGGCGGGCCCGUAAGUGUCUUGUGAAAUCCCACGGCUCAACCGUGGAACUGCUGGGCAUACUGCGGGUCUUGGGCCAACUAGGGGCAGCCGGAACAAGCGGUGGAGCGGUGAAAUGCGUAGAUAUCGCUUGGAACGCCGAAGGUGAAAACAGGCUGCUGGGGUUGCGCCGACGCUGAGACACGAAAGCCAGGGGAGCAAACGGG